rnacentral:rRNA from 1 species
ACCGUGGGUAACCCGUAGGUCCCCUCGGUACUAGGGGGAAGUUAACAACGUUGGAAACGGGACUAGCUAAAACCGACCAUAACAUGGAGAUACCGCAUGAUAUUUCCUAUCAAAUAUUUAUAGGUACAGGAUGGGCCCGCGUCUGAUUAGCCAGUUGGCAGGGUAAUGGCCUACCAAAGCGACGAUCAGUAGCCGGCUUGAGAGAGUGACCGGCCACAUUGGGACUGAGACACGGCCCAAACUCCUACGGGAGGCAGCAGUGGGGGAUAUUGCACAAUGGGGGAAACCCUGAUGCAGCGACGCCGCGUGAGUGAAGAAGUAUUUCGGUAUGUAAAGCUCUAUCGGCAGGGAAGAAAAAGCGCGCGAGCGCCUUGACAGUACCUGACUAAGAAGCCCCGGCUAACUACGUG